rnacentral:rRNA from 1 species
ACUCCGACCGGAGACGGAAGGAGUGCUUUUAUUAGAUCAAAACCAAUCGGUGGCGGGUUCGCUCGUCAUCGUACAACUUGGUGACUCUGAAUAACUUUACGCUGAUCGCACGGUCUCGCACCGGCGACGCAUCUUUCAAAUGUCUGCCUUAUCAACUUUCGAUGGUAGGUUCUGCGCCUACCAUGGUUGUAACGGGUAACGGGGAAUCAGGGUUCGAUUCCGGAGAGGGAGCCUGAGAAACGGCUACCACAUCCAAGGAAGGCAGCAGGCGCGCAAAUUACCCACUCCCGGCACGGGGAGGUAGUGACGAAAAAUAACGAUACGGGACUCAUCCGAGGCCCCGUAAUCGGAAUGAGUACACUCUAAACCCUUUAACGAGUAUCAAUUGGAGGGCAAGUCUGGUGCCAGCAGCCGCGGUAAUUCCAGCUCCAAUAGCGUAUAUUAAAGUUGUUGCGGUUAAAAAGCUCGUAGUCGAAUCUGUGUCCCACGCCGCCGGUUCAUCGUCCGCGGUGUCAACUGGCGUGUCGCGGGACGUCCUGCCGGUGGGCUUAGCCCGCGAGGGCGGCCCAACUCAAUCCUGCCGCGGUGCUCUUCACUGAGUGUCGAGGUGGGCCGGCACGUUUACUUUGAACAAAUUAGAGUGCUUAAAGCAGGCUAAAACUUCGCCUGAAUACUGUGUGCAUGGAAUAAUGGAAUAGGACCUCGGUUCUAUUUUGUUGGUUUUCGGAACCCCGAGGUAAUGAUUAAUAGGAACGGAUGGGGGCAUUCGUAUUGCGACGCUAGAGGUGAAAUUCUUGGAUCGUCGCAAGACGGACAGAAGCGAAAGCAUUUGCCAAAAACGCUUUCAUUGAUCAAGAACGAAAGUUAGAGGUUCGAAGGCGAUCAGAUACCGCCCUAGUUCUAACCAUAAACGAUGCCAGCUAGCGAUCCGUCGACGUUCCUCCGAUGACUCGACGGGCAGCUUCCGGGAAACCAAAGCUUUUGGGUUCCGGGGGAAGUAUGGUUGCAAAGCUGAAACUUAAAGGAAUUGACGGAAGGGCACCACCAGGAGUGGAGCCUGCGGCUUAAUUUGACUCAACACGGGAAACCUCACCAGGCCCGGACACCGGAAGGAUUGACAGAUUGAGAGCUUUUUCUUGAUUCGGUGGGUGGUGGUGCAUGGCCGUUCUUAGUUGGUGGAGCGAUUUGUCUGGUUAAUUCCGAUAACGAACGAGACUCUAGCCUGCUAACUAGGCGUAUUUUGACAUCGCAAAGGCCCGCCGGUAUCGGGGUUUACUCCUUUAUCGCGCGCGGUUUUUACUGUCGGCGUACAAACAAUUCUUCUUAGAGGGACAGGCGGCUUCUAGCCGCACGAGAUUGAGCAAUAACAGGUCUGUGAUGCCCUUAGAUGUUCUGGGCCGCACGCGCGCUACACUGAAGGAAUCAGCGUGUCCUCCCUGGCCGAGCGGCCCG